GUCUACUCCCUUACGCCUGCUUGGUCUGAGCCCGAGUCUACCUCUUCUCUAAGUCGCCAGCUCGGCACUUGUACCCGGGACCUGUGCUCCUCCCACAAGAAAUUAAAUCAUUUUUGGGAAGCCCUCAAGGUACCAUAAGCUCUGGGCAGUGUGCCUAAGACUUCUAAUGGAGAAUUUAGCCCUGUGCAGAUGAUAUUGCAGAGGAGGAAUGCUUAGUUAAUUUAGGUAAAGUAUGCACAGUAAAUACAAUUUCAUAAAAAAGCUUAUAGUCUAUGGUGUUAUGUAAACAACUAUAGACAAAUAGAAUAUUGCUUUUAUUUGUUAUCCUGUGUUAAACUGUGGCCAAAAUUACACACAUCAGUGUUAGAAAAAUUGCAGUAUUGCAGGCUUGAAGUGGUCCCCUUGUUCAAAUUACUGGCCCCUGCUGAGUGCUGGAAUACCUUCAGGGCGAUGGAAAAUUGUGGCACUCUCUUUGAUUUUAGAUUUUGGGACCAAAGCUGGCUGAUCUUUUGAUGAGUCGGUCUUAAUGAUUUGCUCUUUUAGGCCUUAUUCAAGGAUACUGGGAACCUCACACUCUUCAGAAAAAAAAAAGUUUUCCUCCUGGCAGGCCUAUCAGUUCAGUUGAAUCAAUAUGUAUUAGGUACCUCCCAUAUAGCAGCCUGUGUGCUAGGUACAUGGGUAGAGAUUUAUUAAGAAGAAUGAAAUUCAAUCCCUUACUUAGGAGCUCACAGAUGUGCAUUAACAGAAAAAUUACAAUUCAAUCUAAUCAUUCUCAUGAGUCCCUAGUUCCAUUUGUAAUAGAAGGUCCAAGGAGCAUUUGAACUGUGACUCUCAGACCCUUACCUCUUACUCUGAACUCUCAACUUCAAUCAGCACAUGCUGUUUCUAGCAGCUCUCUUCUGUCUUGGAGUCCUCACUGAAGUCCUCUAGAGUAUGUCCCUAUUGUCCCUGAAAACUGAUGGUGCUGGCUUUUCCUUUCAAAGCCUUGUUUUAAUUCUAGAUUUAAAAUAGCACUAAUGCCACAAGAAGUCUCUUACACAAUGGUAGAGUUCUCUUUCCAUAGACUUUGGAACACUGUUCUUUUGGAAAUGUUUACAAUGACACUUAUAAGAACUGGCUAUAUAUAUAUUAAUCUGCUUUGUGGUGGAAAUAAAUAUUUUGUAGAAUGCUUUGAAGCUUAGGCAAUUAGUUCUUUUUAACAAAAAUUAAUUUAAUUUUCUUUUAAGUUCCAGGAUACCUGUGCAGGACAUGACAUGCAGGUUUGUCAUGUAGGUAAACAUGUGCCAUGGUGGUUUGCUGCACCUGUCGACCCAUCACCUAGGUAUUAAGCCCCACAUGCAUUAGCUAUUUUUCCUGAUGUUCUCCCUCCCUCCACCCCCUUGACAGGCCACAGUGUGUGUUGUUCCCCUCCCUGUGUCCAUGAGUUCUCAUUGUUCAGCUCCCACUUAUAAGUGAGAACAUGUGACGUUUGGCUUUCUGUUCCUGUGUUAGUCUGUGGAGGAUAUUGGCUUCCAGCUCCAACCAUGUCUCUGCAAAGGACAUGAUCUCAUUCCUUUUUAUGGCUGCAUAGUAUUCCAUGGUGUAUAUGUACCAGCAGUUAGUUCUUAAAUUAAAAAAAAAAGCUUUCAUAUUUAAUCAAGUUAGGUUAUUUCAAUAUAUGCACCAUAAUGAUUAUUGUAAAGUAAGUUCUGUAAACUAAGGAAAAAUAACUAUUUUGUGCAAUCUCAGAAAAAUCUACUAGAUGGUAUGGGAAACAAGAAAGAGAAAUGAAGAGGCAAAUAAAAACAUGGCAUUUAUUGAGUAGCUGUAUGCUGGGAGAUUUGAACAUUCUCCUUUCCUUUCCCCUAAUUUUACGUACAGAGAAGUAACUUCUUGAAGGUUGUAUGUUCCAGCUUGCAACUAGCCAUGUUGGAUUUAGAAACAGGUCAAAGUCAAGUUCCAUGCUUUCUUCCUGUCUCAUGAUAGCAUUCUCUCCCAUUCUCUACCUGCACAUAUAUAUUUCAUAAAACUAGAAAGAGGACUCCACUAUAUUUUACAUCAUUUCUUCAAAUGAAGAAGAGAUCUGAGUUCUUCAUACCUUCAACAUGUACUUACAUUCCAGGAAUUUAACUAUCCGUAAGGUAUUUAAAUCCUACAUUCAUGAUAUUGUUUUAAUUGCCCUGAGUCAACUAAUUGACAAAGGAAAAUGCUAUGCUUAAAAGCUCAGUUCUCAGUGUAAUUAUUUUUCUCUCCCCACAUAUAAUCAUCCUUUAAAUAUAAAAGCUAUUAUAGAGAUGCAGUUUCCAGCAAACUUUAUCUCACAUUGAGGCCCUUGACUUUAUGUGGUGUUUCAGAUCAGCUUUUUUGUCAAGGGUCACACAUUCAUUCCAGCAUCACUUAAUUCUUUAGCUGUUAGUCUCCAUCCAGCACUAGGGUAGACCCUGGAGAUGCAAAAGCAAGCUAGAGACAGUACCCUUAUUCUCAUGGAGCUAAACAUUAGAGAGGUAUUGGUGUAUUCUUCGGAGUAUAUAAUGCCCUUUCCAGCUAUGGACUCUGCCUUUCUUUAUGUAUUCACCUCUUCCUGGAAGCCACUUUGAGUUGGCAGAAACACUCUGCCUGCCUCAGGAGACAGAGGGAAUUAUUUGUUGAUAAAUUGGGGAAGAAUGGCUCUAAAUGCUUACAUCAGCUCUGUCCUUCCUCUUGGGAAUGAGAUGCAUGCAGGGAGCAUUUAGCCUGCAAGGCUUCUCUGCUGCUCUUCAGGGAUGCUUCCCUGUAGGAGAGAGAUCUACCUGGGUCUGGGGUGGCCUCUUCCUCCCUGGGUGAGUGUGCCUAGUUCUGGGGUUCAGCUAGUGGGUAUCUUGGCUCUGUCACAGUUAUACCCUCCAUCAUGGCCUCUAUUGGUAAUAAAGGAGAUACUUAGCUCUCAUCUGUCUUAGUCUUCGUUCCAUUAGCAGGGAAGAGGGGUGUCAUUCAUCGUGGCUGAUUUAAAGCUACAAAACUGAUGAGCUUUCUGUAUCCCUUUCUUUCUGGCUCCUAAUUCACUUAUCCUUUGCCCAUAAUUAGCACUCAUUAUGCACUGUCCUGUUCGUUAAUUGUUACCAUGGCUAUGGCUUUUUCUUGAUGUUUUUGUGAGUCUAUCGUGUUUAUAGCUUAUGUCUUUUAGGCCCUACUUAUAAGUAGAAAGAGAACAGGAAGUGAGCUCCCCCAAAAUAGACAUGCAGUCAAUAUCACAAACCCCAAGAGGGCAAGUUCUGGAACCAGCAGAUUCCAGCUCUGCAAUAUUAGCUCUAUAACUUCACCCACAUUACUUAACCUCAGUUUCUUCCUCUGGAAAAUGGGGAAAAUAAUGACACCCUUCUCAUAUUAUCACACAUGAAGUUCCUGACACAGAGUACACACUGAAUGCAUGUGUGCUGUUAUUACAAAAAGGAAUUAAAUCAGAUGGUUUUACCUUCCUUAGAAAGAAUUAAUACAGAAAAAAAAAAAGCUCCUCAACUCUCUUAAGUACUCUGAAUGAAUGACCUCUGUAUUGCAGACUCUUUAAAGCAGCAGUCUCCAAACUUUUUAGCACCAGAGACUGGUUUCGAGGAAGACAAUUUUUCCACAGACCCGGGUGGGGUGAAGGAUGGUUUUGGGAUGAUUCAAGCCCAUUACACUUACCAUUCUAUUCUCAUAAAAGAGCGCACAACCUUGCAUGCACGGUUCACAGUUGGGUUCUGGCUCCUGUGGGAAUCUAAUGCCGCCGCUGAUCUGACAGGAAGCUGAGCUCAGGCAGCCAGUGCUGGCUUGCCUUACCUCCUGCUGUUCUGCCCAGGUCCUGACAGGCCACAGAGCAGUACUGGUCCACAACCUGGGGGCUGGGGACACCUGCUUUAAGGGAACAGUUCUUGAGAACAAACAACAUCUGCUCCAGAGGUCAUUGAUGCUUGAAGAUCAUAGUGAAAGAAGAAUGUUCUCAAAGAACAAGAUUUUUGGGUCAGAUAUUGCUAUGUUUGAAUCUCUUUCCUUCAAAUCCACUUACACAUCCUCCCUGAACCUCAUUUUUUAAAUAAAAUAAUACAAUGAUAUUUACAUAUAAUAUAAUAUUUUGAGAUUUAGGUUAAAUGGUGCAGUUGAAAGUCACUAAUAGUAUAAGGCAUAUGGCAUAUUGUACAUCAAUCUAUUGUAUUUUAUAUCAAUAUAUGUUGUAUUCAAUAUUGUUCAUUAUUCAUUGUUCAUUAUUCAAUAUGUAUUCAUAUUGUACAUCAAUAUAUGUUGAAUAACUGAAUCCAGGGAAUAUUCCUUCUGCAACUGAUUUCAAAUAGUGCCAUUACCCAGAGCUGUGGAUGUUGCCUGAGUUGACUUGUACUUACCUGCAAAGCAAGUGACCUUGAACGGGCAGAGUAAGAGGAAGAGGCCCUCCAUGGAAAACUAAACAACUGGUCCAUUUUUGUUUGAAUAAUCAAGUCUGGGAGGUGUUCCUUGUGCAGAGCACAUUAUUUUCUUUCUAUAUUGGAUAGCUGUACCCCAUUCACAGGGGUGACAUGCCAUUCAUACUGCAGCAGUAGGAAAGUCCCCAUGGUUUCUCUUUCCUCAUUCACUUUUAUAUGUAUAUAUAUUUUUUAUUAUACUUUAAGUUCUAGGGUACAUGUGCACAAUGUUCAGGUUUGUUACAUAUGUAUACACGUGCCAUGUUGGUGUGCUGCACCCAUUAACUUGUCAUUUACCUUAGGUAUAUCUCCUAAUGCUAUCCCUCCCCACUCCCCCUACUCCACAACAGGCCCCAGUGUGUGAUGUUCCCCUUCCUGUGUCUAAGUGUUCUUAUUGUUCAAUUCCCAUCUGUGAGUGAGAACACAUCAUUCACUUUUGAUGUCGGUGGAAUAGUGGCCCCCACAAAGACGUACACAUCCGGAUCCCCAGAACCUAUGAAUAUGUUCCUUUACAUGGUUUUAUGGAUUGAUCUGUAUGCUGCUAAAAUUAAUAUGUUGAAGUUGUGGCCCACAAUACCACAAAAUGUGACUAAAUUUGGAGAUAGGUCUUUUCAGAGGUAAUCAAUUUAAGAUGAGUUUAUUAGGGUAGAUGCUAAUUUAAUGUAACUUUGUUCCCAUAAGAAGGAAAAAAUUGGACACGGAGAUAAGGACAGAGGAAAGAUGAUGUGAAGACAGGGGCAGAAGUCAGCCAUCUACAAGUCAAAGGGAGACAUGUGGAACAGAUUCACCCUCACAGCCCUCAGAUGGAAGCAACACCACUAACACUUUGCUCUUGGACUUCUAGCUUCCAGAACUGAGAGACAAUAUCUUUCUGUUGCUUAAGUCAUUCUGUCUGUGAUACUGUGUUUAUGGCAGCCCUGGCAAACUAAUACAGUCCCACAAAGAUUUGGUUGUUGCUUUGCAAGAGAAUGUAUAAUUCCUGGUUAUUUCUACAAAUAAGGGCAUUGACUUUAUAAAGCUACAAGUAUACCCCAGUAUUCUGUUUCUGGUUUUUGUUUACUUUCAUAUAUGCUAUCUUUUCAUUCCCAGGUGAAAUCAUAGUGCAUUUUAAAUGAUAUUUUAAAGAGCAAUUAUACUCGUCAUAUGUACUUCAAAUAAUACUGAUUCCUCAAUUGAAGUAAUGGUAACAUGAGUGUAUUAGUUAAUUUUUUCUGAAUAACUAGUUACCUCCAAAGUUCAUGCCUUCAAGCAACACAUAUUCAUUAUUUCACAGCUUCUUUGGGUCAGGAGUCUUGGCAUAGCUUAGCUGAGUCCUCUGGCUCCUGGCGUCCCAGGCUGUAAUCAAGGUGGUGGCCAGGACUGUAGUCAUGUCAGGGCUCGCCAGGGAAGGAUCUGCCUCCAAGCUAACCAGUGUGGCUUUUGGCAGAAUAUAUUUCUAUGCAGGUUGUUGGACUGAGUUUCUUGCUGGCUGUUCCAGAGGUUCCCUUAGCAUCUUGUCGUGUGGCCUCUUCAUAGGUCAAUUCAUAUUGGCUUCAUCAAAGUGAGCAGGUAAGAUAGCAAAAGAGAAUGCCCAAGAUAGAAGCCAUAGUCUUUUUGUAAUCUAAUCUUAGAAGUGACAGCCUGUUAUAUUUGCUAUAUUCUCUUUGUUAGAAACAAGUUUCUAGGGCUGGGCAUGGUGGCUCACAUCUGUAAUCCCAGCAUUUUGGGAGGCCGAGACAGGCAGAUCACCUGAGGUCAGGAGUUCGAGACCAGCCUGGCCAACAUGGCGAAAUCCUGUCUCUACUAAAAAUACAAAGCCGAGUGUGGUGGCGCAGGCCUGUAAUCCCAGCUACUUGGGAGGCUAAGGCAGGAGAAGCACUUGAACCUGGGUGGUGGAGGUUGCAGUGAGCCAAGAUUGUGCCACUGCACUCCAGCCUGGGUGACAGAGUGAGACUCCAUCUCAAAAAACAAACAAACAAAAAACCAAAUUACUAGGUUUGUCUCAUUCUCAAGGGAAGAGUUUACUCAAGAGAAUAAAUACCAGGAGGUUGGGAUCACUGGAGGCCAGUUUAGAGUCUGCCUACCAAUAGGAGCAAGGCCAUCAAUGUCAGUCAGUGACAUCAACAUCAUGUAGACUGCUUGGCCAACAGUAAUGCUAAAAUGCCAUCAAUCUUGAGAUCAUCUUCAUCUCAUAAAUAUUAACAUGUAAAAAAAGUCAUUUUAAAGUAAAGAAAAUAUGUUAUUUUUUAACAUUUGAAACAGCCCCUGAAGUCAUGUUUUAGAACAUUUUCUCAUCAUUUUUUGUGUGACUUUUAUAAUAUCUUUUAUAUUAUAUGUUAUAAUAGGGAAUAAAGAAAGUAAAAUAACUCCAAAUCAAAUUUUGAGCACUUACCAAUUAUUAAAUCAUUUAAACAGUCAGGAAAUGGAUACUACUGUGUUCUAGAAAUGGGUACCAACUCUCAAAAUGUUUCACAUACUCAUGGAAAUAACAUGGCUUUAAUGGAAGGGCUUAGGGAGUUCUGCUUCAAGCUGGCUGAUCAGAAAAAGGAGAAGCCUCAGAAAGGAAGUGGGAUCUGUACAUGCACCCAGGAAGCACAGCUUUAGUGUCAAUGGAGAAGUUUCGAAUAGCAAAAUUCUCCACUGAACUUGCUGAAAGCACGAGAGGAGAAAGAAGCAUUUGCAGGCCCAGAUGAUACCUAAGAGAGGACUGUGCAUUGCUUUUCAACCUCCACAUGUCAGUACUCAAGGGAUAAGCUGAAUUUUAAAAAUUUACUUUUGUAUUUGUUUCAUUGUAUAUUACUACCUGUUCACUAUAGCUAAUUGGGAAACUUACAAAAAUUAGAAAUAAUAAGAUUCCUCUUUCCCCAAAGUCACCACUAUCCUGAAUUUUAAAACUAGAGCUUACUUUUGCAAUCUUGACACUUUAUUUCACUACCGUCAUAUAGUAUCCUUCUGUGUCUCAGUCCUUUUUCUUUUUUUGACAUUGUUAUGAAGUUCAUCCAUGUUGUUGCAUGGGCUAAGGCUCAUUUUUAUUGCUGAAUAAUGUCAUAUUGUAUGAAUGUACUAAAUAUUCUUAGUCAUCCUUCUGUUGAGGGUAUUUGUGCUGUUUCCAGUUAGGACUUUCACAAAUCAUGGUUUCAUGAACAUUCUUUGUGAUGGCUAAUAUCAGGUGUCAACUUGAUUAGAUUGAGGGAUGCCUAGAUGGCUGGUCAUUGUUUCUGGGUGUGUCUGUGAGGGUGUUGCCAGAGGAGAUUGAUAUUUGAGUCAGUGGACUGGGAGAGGAAGAUCUCAUGCUCCUCAAUGUGAGUGGGAACCAUCCAAUCCAUGGCCAGCAGUCCUCUCUCAGACAAAAACAAAGCAGGUGGAAGAAGGUGGGAUAAGUUGGCUUGCUGAGUCUUCUGGCUUUCAUCUUUCUCCUGUGCUGGAUCGUUUUUGUCCUUGGACAUCAGACUCCAUGUUCUUCCGCCGUUGGACUCUUGGACUUACAGCAGUAGUUUUGCUGGGGGCUUUUGGGCCUUUGGCCACAGACUGAAAACUGCACUGUCAGCUUCUUUGGUUUUGAGGCUUUUGGACUCAGACUGAGGCACUAUUGGCUUCUUUCUUCCCCAGUUUGCAGAAGUCAUAUUGUGGACUUUGCCUUGUGAUCGUGUGAGCCAAUUCUUCCUAAUAAACUCUCUUUCAUAUAUACAUAUAUCCUAUUAGUUCUGUUCCUCCAGAGAACCCUGACUAAUAUACUCAUAGAUAUGCUUUUUGGUACACGAUUUCAAGCAUAUAUUUGGUGUAAACCUAAGAGUGAGAUUGUCACAUCACAGGACUUUCAAAUGCUCAACUUGAAUGGUUAAUGUUGAACUGCUUUCCAAAGAAGUGAGGCCAACUCAUACCCUACCAGUCAUGUUUCUCUGUUUUUUUUUCAAAGAUUUUGGUAGUAUCAGUCUUUGCAAUAUUAGCCAUUUUGUUGAGUAGGUAGUAGUGUGUCAUUUUGGUUUUCACUGGAUUUUGUGAUGACAAAUGAAGUUGAACACUUUUACUUAGCUAUACUUUCAGUUUAGUUUACUUGUAAUUAGUUACAGUGUUUAAUGGCUGUUUGGGUCUCUUCUUUCAUGAAGUGCCUAUUCUUGUCUUUUGCCUAUUGUUUCCUAUUGGCUUGUUUGCAUUUUUGUUAGUGAUUUCUAAAAAGUCUCUAUAUAUUUGGGAUAAGUGGCUGUGACUCAGUUUUAUAACGUAUAAAAUAGAAAUAAUAAUGCUCCCCACAUAUGACAUUGUUAUGAGGAGUGUAUUAGUUAAUACACAGAAAAGCUUCAAGCCAAAUGUGGCACAGAGUAAGUGCUCAGUAUUAUUGUGCUUAGCCGAAAGAACACUGCUAAGAACUGUGGACACAGAAAUCCAAAGAGGCCUUCUAACUUCCAUUCAACACAUUUUGCCUUGCACAACAACUUCUCAGAAGUUCUGAAACUCACUAUACUUGCCCCUAAUUGUGCCCCAGUACUAGCUUUAGUGAGAAGUACUGUGAUAAUUUUGUUACAAUCCCAACACUAUUUUUUAAAAUUGUAUUUUUCCUUGUAGAAGAAGGCAGUUUUCAAGCUGCAAAUUGAUAGGGAAGCACUUAUUCUCACAGGCACUGCAUGGUACAAUUGGCAUUUAGCAUGUUCAUUGCAAAAGUUUUAAAAGAAUAGCACUGCAGCAGGAGAAAGAGGAAGACAACGACAAUAACAACAACAACAAAGCAAAGUAAAAACUACUCCCUGAAUGCAGAAAUAAAAUGUAUUAAAAAUUAAAGGGUGCACAAUGGGAGCAAUUAAGUGUUUUAGGCCAAGUGCCCAUUCUUGCCUCAUCCAAAUUCCCUUGGUUCACUGGCCACAUUUAAGAAAAAAGGGACAAUUUUUAUCUUCUGCCCUAGUGAAAAUUGUUUUGCUCCCAGUAGCCAGACAAUAAAAAUUUCCUAUAAACAAAUAAACACACUUUAAUCACCGUGGUUAUUCUCCUUCUAUCAGUGGAAUUUUCACAGAUAAAGUUUGUUGAGGAGGAUAGAAAAACCACAAUUUAGGCCUUUGAAACCAAAAAUGACAGAAAAAUCUUUCAUUUAUUAUUCCUCGUGGACAAUAGCUCUUAAUAUCUUCCUUCUAGGUUUCUUAAUUAAAUUCAGCUUCUUAUAUUUUUCUCUUGAUUCACCCACUUUCAUUCCCAGAUUAACCUAGAUCUUCAUAACUAUAAUUUCUCAACUGUAAAAUUUCAUUUACCUCAUUUAAAUUUCUGUAGAUUUCUCUCCCCAAGUGGAAAGUUUGAUUAUUCACUCUUUCACCUUUCUCCCCAGGCAAUAAAACUAUGCUGCUUAGACUAGUGCUAACUGAUUUAUAAACAGUCAAAUAAAUUGCAUUAUUCUGUAUAAUUCAUAUAUGUGUGAAUAUAGAGUGACUUUAGAAAGUGACAGUGAUAGUCCUAGCCUGUGAAGAAUGGCCACCAUCUUCAAAGAUCCUUCUGAAGCGUUAUCUUUUCCACACAAUCUCUGAUUUCUUCUUGGGGAAAGGACUAGUUUUCUCUUUCAAAUCCCCCAGCAUGUCUCCAAGGGCAUUAUAGUUGAUUAGUUCAUUUUUUCCUGAUCAUCUGCUCCCUGCAUCUCCAUAGAGGAUGAGACAUACCUGCCUCUUGCUAUAUGACUUUCAGUGGCCCCCUGUGCUUUUCUGUCACUGGUGCCAGGCUUGGCCAAGUGACAUUCUUCAGUCAACGGAAGGGGAGCAGAUUAGUUCCUUCUGAGAGGAAGUUUUCAAAGGCAUUAUAAGUUUUUACCAGCUUCAUUGCUCUUUUCCUGUGCCAAGUUCCUUCGGCUUGGUCCCAAGAAUGAGAAGGCACAUGGAACCAUGGGACCUGAGCUGUGGCCUCCUACAUGUGACAUGAGCAAGAAAGAAAUAUCUGAGGUUUGGGGGUCAUUGGUUACUUCAGCACUUAGCACUUUAUUGAAAUUGUUUGUUUGUUUGUCUUAUUCAAGGUGCAUUCAGGAAAUGCAUCUUCUUCGUUGGAUGUCUGCAUAGUCUGGAGCUUGGCAGUUGGUGGGAGCUAAUAAAUGUUUGUGGAAUAAGUGAAUGAUUCAAUGAAGAUCUCCAAUGAGAAGCAUCUAUUAUCUGCCAUGGCAAUUGUGCUGACUGGAGAAUGUUUCUUACCCUGAGCAGAAAUUGAAUCCUCCUGUACUUCCACUAUGGGUUUUAGUUAUAUCCCUUAGGCUCCUAUAAAACCGUCUAAUUCCUCAUCCAUAUGACAGCCCUCUAAUGCCUGAAAGCAGUGCUACUAUUCAUCUUAGGAUUUUAUCUUUGCAGAAUAGGUAUUCCCAGUCCUUAUCCAUUUUGGUAUCUCCCAUGGUUUUAAUGUCCUUGGUUUCCUGGGGGUCCUCUUUGCAGGUGCUCUUGAUGCAUGUCUCUCUUAGCACAUGGGAUCUGCAAUUAGCAUCAUUAUCCAUGUGUGGUCAGAGUAGCACAGGGUGAGGAAAGAGUGUCUCCUCCCUCUGUCUAGACAAAUUAUACUGAGUCUAACACAGCCUCCAGUUGCCUUCACUGGUCUUGGCAGCCCCAUCAUGCUGCUGACCCAUGUGGAGUCAACCAAAUCCCUUAAGUCUUUUCCAGGAGCCUUUAUUGUCAAGCUCUGCCUCAACUUGUGCAGGUGGUUUGGGGAAUCCAAAUGUAGAUCUUUAUACUUUUCCCUGUUUGCCUACUCCCCUCAUUUCAUCUAGUUACUGAUUUCUGUCUACAGUAUUUUGGGAAAUGAAGGCUUUGGUUUCUGGGAAAGGAAAUGCAGCAGGUAGUCCACACAAAGGAGAAACAACUGUGUCUUGUUAAUCCUGGUAUGGCUAGAGAGCUCCAUUUUCAGGUUCUGCAAUGUAUACUUCACUAUGUGAGGUAGCUCAUUUCUAGUACUGUACUGUCUUUGCUUGGUUUCUCAGGGGGAAUAGAAGAGUAGCAUCAAUAGCACACACCAACAAGAAGCUCUAUGUGUGACAUAUAGACUGACUGUAAGGUGUUCCCCAUAACCCCUGCUUCCCGGUAAUCAUGCUCUUUGAUUAUCCCCUUGGCUUGAGUAUAGACAUGUCCUGUAACUUGCUUCUAUCCAAUGGAAUAUGGCAAAGCCAAUGGGAUAUAUGUGAUUGCAUGUACAUAAUUAUAUUUGGUGUGAUUGUAACAUUGCUUCCUUGCUGGCUGUGAGGAGCAAGGUUCUAGGCUGUGAUCUGUUCCCUGGGAAGAGGCCACAUAGUCAGAAACUGAGGGCAACUUCUAGCUGACAGCUAGCAAGAAGCUAAGGCCCUCAACCUGACAGCUUGCCAGAAACAGGAUGCUAUCAACAACCAAAUGGGCCUGGAAAAUGAUGCUUUCCCAGUCCACCCUUGAAGUGAGGUUGCAGCACUGGCUGAUGCCUUGAUUGCAGCUUCCAGAUGAGACUCUGAGGCAGAUGAUUCAACAAAGCCAGGCCCGACUCCUGAUCCAUGGAAACUGUGAUAUA
rnacentral:lncRNA from 10 species